rnacentral:rRNA from 1 species
UACAGAGGUCUCAAGCGUUUGUUCGGAUUUAUUGGGCGUAAAGAGCUCGUAGGCGGCUCGGUAAGUCGGAUGUGAAACCUCCAGGCUCAACCUGGAGACGCCAUCUGAUACUGCCGUGGCUUGAGUCCGGUAGAGGAGCAGGGAAUUCCUGGUGUAGCGGUGAAAAUGCGCAGAUAUCAGGAGGAACACCAGCGGCGAAGGCGGGUCUCUGGGCCGAUACUGACGCUGAGGAGCGAAAGCGUGGGGAGCGAACAGG